UCCCUGAAUAGUGGUCCAGUGGUUAAGACUUUGUGCUCUCAAUGCAGAGGGCCUAGGUUUGAUCCCUGGUCAGGGAA